UCUCUCUUUCUCUGUCUGUCUCUCUCUCUCGGUCUCUGUCUCUCUGUCUCAGGCAGUGAGACACAGAGCAGCUAAUUGUGUGAAGGCCACACAGACAAUGUUUCUUCCUCUCAUUCCAGCUGCCUAGGCCCUACUGUACUCGCACACGCUGGGCUUCCUCCUCAUCGCUGAAAAGGGGCCUAGGACCAACACACACAGACCUGUGAUCCUGUUACACACCCGCUUUAAAUUCAACACAGACACAGAGAAGGAAGAAGUGGUUGUGGGGAGAGAAAGAGAAGGGAAAGAGAAACCAGCAGCCUUCCUGAGUGGAAUCAGUACCAGUGCCAACAAAAUUCUUUAAAAUGCCAAAUAGAUGCAUAGCAUUCAGUAUGCUCUAAAAUGUUCUAAUCUAGACUGACAUUCUGAGAGAGUGAGAGAGGGAAGCAUCCUCAGAGCAUCACAGGAUAGGACAGGACAAAGACAGGACAGAAUAGGAUAAUGACAGGUUAGGAUAGGACAUGAUGGGACAAGGGAGGGAUAGGACAGGGUAGGAUAGGACAGGACAAAGACAGGACAGAAUAAUGACAGGUUAGGAUAGGACAUGAUGGGACAAGGGAAGGAUAGGACAGGGUAGGAUAGGACAGGACAGGACAGAAUAGGAUAAUGACAGGUUAGGAUAGGACAUGAUGGGACAAGGGAAGGAUAGGACAGGGUAGGAUAGGACAGGACAGGACAGAAUAGGAUAAUGACAGGUUAGGAUAGGACAUGAUGGGACAAUGGAAGGAUAGGACAGGGUAGGAAGGACAGGACAGGACAAAGACAGGACAGAAUAGGAUAAUGACAGGUUAGGAUAGGACAUGAUGGGACAAGGGUAGGAUGGGACAGGGCAGGAUAGGACAGGGCUGGAUAGGACAGGGCAGGAUAGGCCAGGACAAGGACAGGUUUUGGAUGUAUUGAACGUAUGUGUCAAACUGUUUGUGUAGACGUCUUGACAGAAAUAGUAGCAGAAGGUGAAUGUUGAAAUGUUGUUGCAUACAUAUCCAGAUGAUGCUGCAAACUAUUUUGCGCAACGACGUUGUCGGUUUGAUCGAAGCGACAGGAUAGGACAAGGAUAGGAUAGGACAAGUACCUGCCAAGGCAAACCAAAGGACAGGGUUGGACAAUGAUAGGUUAGAAUAGGAUAGGACAUGGACCUGAUAGGACAAGGACAGAACAAGACUAGGAGAGGAUAGGAUAGGACAAGGUCAGGAUAGGACAGGAAAGGACAAAUCCAAGGACAGGUCGGUAGAGGAUAGGACAAGGACAGGCUAGGACAAGGACAGGUUAGUAUAGGACAUGAAAAUGAUAGGACAAGGUAGGGACAGGUUAGGAGAGGACAGGACAAGGUCAGGAUAGGACAAACCCAAGGACUAGUUAGGAUAGGACAAGGUCAGGGAAAGGCUGGGACAGGACUAACCAAAGGACAGGAUAGGACAAGGUCAGGGAAAGGCUGGGACAGGACUAACCAAAGGACAGGAUAGGACAUGGUCAGGGAAAGGCUGGGACAGGACUAACCAAAGGACAGGACAGGAUAGGACAAGGUAAGGGAAAGGCUGGUACAGGACUAACCAAAGGACAGGAUAGGACAAGGUCAGGGAAAGGCUGGGACAGGACUAACCAAAGGACAGGACAGGAUAGGACAAGGUAAGGGAAAGGCUGGUACAGGACUAACCAAAGGACAGGACAAGGUCAGGGAAAGGCUGGGACAGGACUAACCAAAGGACAGGACAGGACAAGGUCAGGGAAAGGCUGGGACAGGACUAACCAAAGGACAGGAUGGGAUAGGACAAGGUCAGGGAAAGGCUGGGACAGGACUAACCAAAGGACAGGACAGGAUAGGACAAGGUAAGGGAAAGGCUGGUACAGGACUAACCAAAGGACAGGACAAGGUCAGGGAAAGGCUGGGACAGGACUAACCAAAGGACAGGACAGGACAAGGUCAGGGAAAGGCUGGGACAGGACUAAUGAAAGGACAGGAUAGGACAAGGAGAGUGAAAGGCUGGGACAGGACUAACCAAAGGACAGGAUGGGAUAGGACAAGGUCAGGGAAAGGCUGGGAUAGGACUAACCAAAGGACAGGAUGGGAUAGGACAAGGACAGGAUGGGACAGGUCAGGAUAGGACAAGAUGAUAACAUUAACAUAAUGGCUUAGAGCCAGAGCCUGAGCCUGGAGGCGGUACUAUGGAGAGGUGGGGUUAGUCAGGUCCAAUGAGAAGCUGCCUCCAAGGUAGACCACUGAAGGGGUGGAGCUUGGAGCCAAACACAUUAUUGUUACCCUGUUAAAAAUAAAAACAUUAAUUGAAGCAUCGCUUAUAAGAUGAUUUAUAAAAAGGGAGGGUUUGAGCCGCAGCCAAGGGGCUGCACACACACACACACACACACACACACACACACACACACACACACACACACACACACACACACACACACACACACACACACACUUCCAAACAGGUGGCACUGCCUACUUACAUAUAAAGAAGAAAUGGAGACUCAGUGUAAUGGUGGCAGUGAAGGGCAAGAUGGGUAGGACUUCCAGAGCCCACCUCCUCCAUCUCCCACAGACAGUCCUCUGGCUCCCCUGGCCUCCCUGGUAUUCUGGUCACUGAGAGCAUUGGACUCGAGGGCGGGGCUGAG
rnacentral:lncRNA from 1 species